UUAGCUGGGUGUGGGUGGCGCGUGCCUGUAAUCCCAGCUACUCAGGAGGCUGAGGCAGGAGAAUCGCUUGAACCCGGGAGGCGGAGUUUGCAGUGAGCCGAGAUUGCACCGCUAUACUCCAGCCUGGGUGACAGAGUUAGACUCCAUCUCAAAAAAAAAAAAAAAAAGAGAGAGGGAGGGGGCCAAAGUGGGACCAGCUUGGGGCUGGGUACUAUGCUGCAUGGUGUGACAGAGCUGUGGAUCUGGUGUGGAAGCAGCCACAGAUCUUCCUGCACUGCCCUAAGCCAACAGGACCCUGAUGUGCUCUGUGUCCCUGGCAGCUGUGGUGCUGAGACCUUGACUGCUCUUUUUUUUUUUCCCCCUCUUUCCAGCUUUUAUUUUAGGUUCAGGGGUAAAUGUGCAGGUUUGUUACAUGGGUAAAUUCCAUGUCGAGGGGGUUUGGUUUACAGAUUAUUUUGUCACCCAGGUAAUGAGCAUAGUACCCAAUAGGUAGUUUUCCAGUCCUCACCGUCCUCCCACUCUCUACCCUCUAGUAGGCCCCCGUGUCUGUUGUUCCCCUCUUUGUAUCCAUGUGUACUUGUAAGCUCCCGGUUACAAGUGAGAACACGUGGUAUUUGGGUUUCUCUUCCAGUGUUAAUUCGCUUAAAAUAAUGGCCUCCAGCCCCAUCCAUGUUGGUGCAAAAGACAUGAUUUAAUUCUUUUUUAUGGCAAUGUAGUAUCCCAUGGUGUAUAUGUAUGACAUUUUGUUUAUCUACUUCACCAUUGAUGGGCAUCUAGAUUGAUUCCAUGUCUUUGCUAUUGUGAAUAGCGCUGCAAUGAACAUAUGUGUGCAUGUGUCUUUUUGGUAGAACGAUUAUUCCUUUGGCUGUAUGCCCAGUAAUGGGAUUGCUGGGUUGAAUGGUAGCUCUAAGUUCUUUGAGAAAUCUCCAAACUGAUUUCCACAGUGGCUGAACUAAUUUACAUUCCCACCAGCAGUGUAUAAGCAUUCCCUUUUCUCUGCAUCCUUACCAGCAUCUGUUAUUUUUUGACAUUUUAGUAAUAGCAAUUAUGAAUGCUGUGAGAUGGUAUCUCAUUGGGAUUUUGAUUUGCAUUUCUCUUAUGAUUAGUGACGAGUAUUUUUUCACGUGCUUCUUGGCCACAUGAAUGUCUGACUGCUCUUCUAAUUCUGUUCUGCUCAGCUGCACCUGCCCCGCUCCACGUUCAAGUGUUUAGCUCUGGCUUUCAGGAAUCUCUGUUACCAUACCUCUGCUCUCUGAGCCCAUACAGGGAUUUCUGAAGGGGUGAGGUAGGGUGUCAGUGAUAGGGUUUUUUUCCUCUGGGAUUAUGGGGGGGAGUUGCCAAGCUCCUAUUAGAGCCAAUGAAGCCCCCUUCCUCAGGGACUUUCCCAAGAGAAGAGCCAGAGCUCAUACUCAGGAUCAUUCAGACCAUAAGGCCUUAUAGAGGAACCCAGUGACUCCAAGAAAUGGUGAGACACAAAAGAAUCUCAGGCUGGAAGGGGAAGAAUCCAGGGAUGAGAGCUCAUCAGUGCCUGUGACAUCAUAGACAUGACCGUACAGUUCUGUCAUGACCAGACUUGGGAGAAAGAAGCAGGUGAAAUGGUGGUGCAGCUGCCAGACUGAGACAUCUCAGUUCCUUAUGUAAGCUUUGUCAUGUCCUCCAGUCCUCCCUUCAGAAAGGCCCAUAUUCCAUGAUAGCCCCUAGAAGGGUCAUGUCUUGGUGUUUUGCACAGAGCUCUUUGAGUUUCUCCAUUAACUUAGCUACUGUGCCCAGCAGCCACCAGAGGCCCCAAAAGAAGUAACCAGCAGGGGAUCUGGCUGCCUGGGUUCCUUGGGGGUGGUCUCACCAUCAGCGGUGGGUGAGACCACCACAGCCACACUGUGAAAGUUUCAGAGUUUUCACUACUUACAGAUCCUCAAGAUAGGCAGGAUGACCAGAGAGAGGCAGACAGCAGUCCUCAGUUCUUAUGUAGUUAUGUCACUUAUGUAGUGACAGCAGCUGCACACUUGUGGGAGAGGACUUCUGUUAAAGGCUUAUUUGGGGGUAGGAUGUCCUAAUUUCAUGGAAUUACUUUCCACUGAGUCCUUCAACCACUUCUAGCAGCAAAGGUAGUUGAGCAGUUUGGCAUGAGGCUGGAGUUAAAACAGGGCUCUGCAGAGGGACUUCUUGUCUAUCUUGGUCAGCCCUUGCCAGGCAACAAUCAACUGUGGUUUCUUCAUUACUCCUCAGACACUUGGGACAUUCAUGGUGACCUACUGGCACCCAAGGAAGAGAACCUGAUUUUAAUUUGGACUGAUAAGCAAGUUUUCUGAACAGGUUUAUAGGGAUUAGUUUAGUCUGGACAGAGUGAGCCUGAAUCAAAAGAUACUGUUAAUACCAGAGGACUAGAAGAUCCCAUGUGGAGAUGUCAGGUGGCUUAGCCAUUGAGAAAGAAUGACAGUAGAGCUGAAAUGGUCCAGAGCCCAGGUAUUCAACAAAGGCUAAGAGCCAAGGUGAGAGGGCAAAGGGAAGGUGUGAAUGAAUGGGUGAAGCCCCACUGUGUGCUUGGCCAGCCCCACAGAGCUCUCUGCUGGUGCUUAGGGGUAUGAAUUCUACUUGUGACAUGUCAAUUUAUGUCACCAUCUCCUGUGCCUGGGUCUAAAGUCUUGUAAAAGAAAAAAAAAAAACCAACUGGGGAUUCCAACAGACACUACCUUGAUGACCAAGAUAAUACAUUUUUUCUCAAGUCUCCAACUUCAAGAAUUGUACAAAUAUGACUGUGACAUCGCUUAAAAAUAUAGGAAAAUUUAAAAAAUUGUACAAAUAAAAUCAAUCAUGUCUAUGAAUUAUUAAUGGAACUUCAGUGGCAACUCAGAGGAGCUCUCUGUACAUCCUCAACCAGAGCCACAGCUUCCUCGCCAUUUUCUGGAUGCUGCUCCCUCACCCAGGUCUGGAUCUCCUCUGGCAAGAUAGUCAGAAACUGCUCCAAAACCAGCAGCUCCAGGAUUUCCUCUUUCGAGUGGGUCUUCGGCCUCAGCCACUGACAACAGAGUUCCCAGAGUUUGCUAAAAGCUUCAUGGGGGCCAGUUACCUCCUGGUAGCAAAACUGCCUGAAGCGCUGACGGGAGGCCUCGGAGUCAGGGCUGUUACCCUGGAGGGCUGAUUUCUGGCCCUGCGUGGGAUCCUUGUUUGAGGAUGGGUGUGCCUCGGUACUCUUCACUGCAGCCAUCAUUUGCUUCAACGAACUGGCUUACUCUGGUUGCCACUUCUUCCCUGGAGAUCAGAGUCCAUCUUUCCCACAUCACUGGGAAGCCAUGUUCUCCUGCAAGGAAUGUCUUUCUGUAAUCCGUGGAACAUGAGAGUGUCAGACAUGUGCAGAGACUCACAGCUGAAAAAAAGGGCUCAACUUUGAAGGAUGUCUGAAGAGGAUGGAAAAAGACAAUAUAAACCUAUCAAA